UGAAGUCGGAAUCGCUAGUAAUCGUGAAUCAGAAUGUCACGGUGAAUACGUUCCCGGGCCUUGUACACACCGCCCGUCACACCAUGGGAGUGGGCUGCAAAAGAAGUGGGUAGUUUAACCUUUCGGGGAGGACGCUCACCACUUUGUGGUUCAUGACUGGGGUGAAGUCGUAACAAGGUAGCCCUAGGGGAACCUGGGGCUGGAUCACCUCCUUA
rnacentral:rRNA from 1 species